UGCACUGAAGACGUUAUGUUAUUUAGUAAAGAAUUUGUCGCUGGUUUUAACCCCCAAUCCAUCAACCUUGCUCGAAGGCGCCCCAGAUAAGGCCACUUUUUAAUGAUGUCUAGGGAUACAUUCAUAUCUAUUAUGUCCUUCCCGUCUUCAAGGCGGGAGGCUGUAAAUUGAAGACGAUAUGGCUGCGGUUUCUAGCAAGCUAAGCGCUGAUAUAGAUUCCUUCAAUUGUUCAUAAAAUAAAAGCCCAUGUAACAAAGAAAAGUUCUUAGAUUGAAUCAACGAGUUGCUAAGUGACAGCGAUGUAGUUCCAACGGAGUUAUACCCUUAUUGUAACAAAUUGGAUUGAUGAAGACCGGCCCGUCAAAAACUUUCGAGAAAGAAUUAAAAAGUUACGGAGAACCAAGAUUUUAAAAUGAUCGAGGCGAAUACGGAAAAGAGGUCGAAGUUGAAAAGUUCAAAAUCAAAAAAUACCAGAAAGGCGCACCAUCACAUCAUUGGCCAGCCAUGUAUGGUGCUUAAAAAAGAAAGAACCCCGUACAUAAUUAAAUGGAAGCUCCUUGAACAACCAGGGCUUAUACAAACAGGAGGAUUCUGAGAGAGCCAGUAUCCUAAAAAAACUAAUUUGAUCCAGGGACCAUUUUAAUCUCUAGGAAAGAGGUAUUCAUUUAAUGCCCACAUCUAAAACGUUUCCUACUUCAGACUUGGAAUUCCCUAUUCAUUGAAUAGUCCCACCACAGCUCCUUCAAAUAGCACCAUGGCAAGAGCCAAUGAAAGGGGGAUAAAUCUGUCCCAUCCGGCUAAUCCCGUCCCGCAGCACAGACAGUCUGGAAGAAAAGCAGUGACCAUCACCCACUACAGGGCCUCCAAAAUUGGUAGUUGGGAGUAAAGGCUGAAGAUAUUCUCAAACCAGGGUCGUAGCACAAAUGAUUGCAACAUAGAGGAUUCUGCUAAAGACACCCAAUGUAUCAGGCAAUGGGAUUUGAACUCAGAACUCAAAGAUCUAAAAUAAAUGCCAUAAAGCAUCUGGUCUGAUAUUCUUACUGUUUCACCAAACCCCAGCCCUAGACUGGUACUUUUUUAUUGCCUCCACACCACCACCAUCACCAAAAGAAUGAAAGAAAGUGGAACUUGGCUGAAUUUGUAGUUAGAUUGCUAAGAAUCAGAACAAAUACCACAAGGCACUUUAUCUGAUGCUCUGCUACCUUAAUCAGGCCACCAGCUAACAAAGACAUGAAACUUA